AUGCUGACCCUGAAGCGUUUUCUUAAUGGACAAUGUUCAGCCAGGAACUGUGAAGACAAGGUAGAGUCUACCCGAAUGAUAAAGAAUACAGUCUCCUUUGAGAUCUAUUGCAGACAAAAAAGAAAGAAAGAAGAAAGAAAGAAAAGAAAGAGAAAGAGAAAGAGAGGAGAAGAAAAAAGAAAAGAAAGAAAAGAAAAGAGAAAAAGAAAAUCCAGCUUCCACCUUCAAGGGGCACAAGAUAAAUAAUUCUGGUUGGUUAAAAGUCUUCAGGUCAGAUAAAAGUCUUUCCGCUCUUGCCUCCUUGUUCAACAGGCAUCCUCUUCCCUUGUGAAUAUUUGGCUUGUGGGGGCAGAAGACAGUCCAAGGGCAGGGAAAAGGAGCUCUCCCAUCAGGCUCUAUGGAGCAACCUUGGUGCCUCUAAGAUUGUUUCAUCUGAUUGGUCAUCUGCUGCCUCCACUUCUACCUUCACAGACCCUGAACACUGGCCUGAGCCACACUGCUCUUCAUGAAAGUAUAAAAUCUCAUUCCAAACAAACUGGACCAACAUUAUCAAAUACAUCCCAUGUGUCGGAACAUGGGGCCGCCAAAGGAGAUGAAUCUGAGAUCAUCCCUGAAGAGUUCAGAGUCUAGCAAGUCAAAUCACUGCACCAUGGCCUUAUAAAAACCAGGGAGAGGGAUCCCUGGGUGGCGCAGCGGUUUGGCGCCUGCCUUUGGCCCAGGGCGCGAUCCUGGAGACCCGGGAUCGAAUCCCACAUCGGGCUCCCGGUGCAUGGAGCCUGCUUCUCCCUCUGCCUAUGUCUCUGCCUCAUUCUCUCUCUCUCUCUGUGACUAUCACAAAUAAAUAAAUAAAUAAUUAUUUAAAAAAAAAAAAAAAAACCAGGGAGACAGCAUGUGCCUGAUGAUCUGGGGACCAACUAUAUCCAAGGGAGAGUGAGCCACAGGGAGGAGAUGCACAAGCUAGGUCUUCAAGGAUGAGGAAGAGUUCUAGAGAUUGUGUCUAAAAGACAAAAAUAUCAAUAGUGAUGAUAGCGAUAAUAACAGCUGGCAUGUACUAGGCGAGCCCUUCACAACACACAUUAGUCUAAGCGCUUUACAGGCAUAAGCACAUAUAAUCCAACCCCAUGGAAGAGAAACAAUUGUUAUUCCCAUUUUAGAGACAUUAAGGCAUAGAGAGUUUUAGUAAUUUUCCUUACUUAUGUUAAUAAUUAACCACGUGGGGCCUUAACAUGUCAGGGGUAAAAGGGUAGAUAGGUUUCUAAGUCACAACUAGUCCAAAUGUUAAGUCUGGUUCCCUGUCCUCUCCCAAGGGCCUGGAAUAGUGCUGGGCACAUAGCAGGCACUUUGUACUAUCAGAGAAUGAGCCGUGGUUAUGUCAGCUUUUAUUUGUCCCCCUCCCCCAGAUCUACUCUCUAUCCUUCUCUAAAGUGUUC
rnacentral:lncRNA from 1 species